AGGAAAGUAAAAAAGGGCGCAUGGCGGAUGCCUUGGCUCUCGGAGGCGAUGAAGGACGUGAUAAGCUGCGAUAAGCUUUGGGGAGGUGCAAAUGACCUUUGAUCCAGAGAUUUCCGAAUGGGACAACCCAAUAUCUUGAAGAGGUAUUAUCCAACGUUGUUGGAGGCUAACGCAGGGAACUGAAACAUCUUAGUACCUGCAGGAAAAGAAAAUAAACAAUGAUUCCCCCAGUAGUGGCGAGCGAACGGGGAACAGCCCAAACCAUCCAUGUUACGGCAUGGGUGGGGUUGUAGGACUACGCCGUUGCAUGAAGACAUCAGAGAAGAACUUUCUGGAAAGAAAGACCAUAGAGCAUGACAGUUGCGUAUUCGAAUGUUGUCGAAGCAUAGUAGUAUCCUGAGUAGCGCGGAGCACGAGGAAUUCUGCGUGAAUCUGCCGGGACCAUCCGGUAAGGCUAAAUACUCCCGAGAGACCGAUAGCGAACCAGUACCGUGAGGGAAAGGUGAAAAGCACUUCGAACAGAAGAGUGAAAUAGUUCCUGAAACCGUGCGCCUACAAGCGGUCGGAGCUCGUUAAUGAGUGACGGCGUGCCUUUUGCAUAAUGAACCUACGAGUUGCCUUUGCCGGCAAGGUUAAGUGUGACGACACACGUAUCCGAAGCGAAAGCGAGUCUGAAGAGGGCGUAUAGUCGGCAGUGGCAGACGCGAAACCAAGUGAUCUACCCUUGGCCAGGUUGAAGGCUGGGUAACACCAGCUGGAGGACCGCACCAAUAAGCGUUGAAAAGCUUCUGGAUGAGCUGAGGGUAGGGGUGAAAGGCUAAUCAAACUUGGAGAUAGCUCGUACUCCCCGAAAUGCAUUUAGGUGCAGCCUUGCGGGUUACUGAUGUGAGGUAGAGCGACUGAUAAGAUGCGAGGGCUUCACCGCCUAUCAAGUCUUGACAAACUCCGAAUGCGCAUCAGUUCUACCGCAGGAGUGAGGGCAUGGGUGCUAAGGUCCGUGCCCGAGAGGAGAAGAAUCCGGACCACCUGCUAAGGUCCCGAAAUGACAGCUAAGUUAAACUAACGAAGUCUGACUGCUAAGACAGCUAGGAUGUUGGCUUGGAAGCAGCCAUUCAUUUAAAGAGUGCGUAACAGCUCACUAGUCGAGGAGUCGGGCGUGGAUAAUAAUCGGGUAUCAAGUUGUCUACCGAAGCAGUGGGAUCAUUUAUAUGAUCGGUAGGGGAGCAUUCCAGUCAGCGUCGAAGGCGUACCGUGAGGUAUUCUGGAGCGUCUGGAAAAGCAAAUGUAGGUAUAAGUAACGAUAAAGGGGGCGGGAAACCCCCUCGCCGAAAGACUAAGGUUUCCUGAUCAACGCUAAUCGGAUCAGGGUCAGUCGGGUCCUAAGGCUCAGCCGAACGGCGAUGCCGAUGGCAGAAACGGUUAAUAUUCCGUUACUACCUUCAGGAGUGACGUGGAGACGCAGUAGUGACAGUGCCGCCAUCUGACGGAAUAGAUGGUUGAAGGGUGUAGGAGUCGAUCAUGGCAGGCAAAUCCACCAUGAGAUCCGAACCUGACAGUAUGCCGCGUCCUUCGGGACAAGGCAAUAGUGCGCGUAAGCAUGCUGCCGAGAAAAUCCGCUAAACUUAAUCCUGUAGGUACCCGUACCGCAAACGGACACACGUAGUCGGGAUGAAUAUUCUAAGGCGCUUGAGUGAUUCACGGUUAAGGAACUAGGCAAACUGACCCUGUAACUUCGGGAUAAAGGGUCCCUACCCUUUUAUGGGAGGGCGCAGAGAAUCGGUCCAGGCAACUGUUUAACAAAAACACAGGGCUGUGCCAAAUCGAAAGAUCCAGUAUACAGCCUGACACCUGCCCGGUGCUGGAAGGUUAAGAGGAGAUGUCAUCGAUAAGAGAAGCGUUGAAUUGAAGCCCCAGUAAACGGCGGCCGUAACUAUAACGGUCCUAAGGUAGCGAAAUUCCUUGUCGGGUAAGUUCCGACC
rnacentral:rRNA from 1 species